AAUAAGAAAAUAAAUAGUCCUGGAAGCCUCACUUCCGUAGAAAAUCAAUAUUAGUAUUUGGUUAUGAGGCAUUGAAAUAAUUCUUUAUAAAUUUAUGUGCAUAUAGACCCCAAACAUUUUAUAAUGUUUGGGAUCAUAAAACACAGUAUUCUGUUGGCUUACUUUUUUUUUUUAACUCAAACAAAUAUAGAUUCACAUUUUUUAAAUCUCACAUUAUUUAACUUUACUUCAACUCAAUUUUUUAUUUUAUCAAUUUCCUAUUGAUAAAUGUUUAAGUUUUUGAAAGUUUCAGUUAUGAACAAUGGUUCAAUGAACAUUCAUAUACAUUAAAGUAAUACAAUCAUUAAAAAACGUUUACAAUAGCAUUUACCCUUUAGAUAGGUCCCCAGAGCAUUUACUCAGCCUUCCUUAAAACACAGGCCAAGUAGUUGCCAGGCUGCAAACAAAGCUAACCUCACAAAGUGGUAGAGUGCUGUAGCACGUGAUUAAGGAAACUUCUACCCUACAAAAUAUUUUGCCCCCAAGAUGCAAUUUAACUGUUUUAGCAAGGAGCACAUCUUUUCCUUUAUACAAUUAAAGAUCUAGAGCGAGGGAAUUGUUGGUUCUAAAGUCAUCCUUUUUGAAAAGUUAAAGUUAUUUAUGAUGGGCAGUUUUGCUCUUUCUCAUUUGCUGGGCUUUACACAAGGCCAUGAUGUUCACUUGGGCAUAAUUCCAAGGGCCUCCAUUCUCAUUCUCAUCUGAGUGGAUGGCUCUAGGUUGUGUGAAAAUUAUGGGGCAUGCCACUGAGACCCUAGUAUUCAGUUUAGUUUGUUUUUUGCUUGGUUAUUUUGUUGGUUUAUUGAAUUCUCCAACCAGACCAUUACUAACAGAAAUACAUGAGAAAAAAAUCCCAGGAAUAUGUUUCAGGGUUUCAGAACAGUAGCAGUGAAAAUAGUGUUUACACAGAAGUUCAGAAAAGUUACAUAUAAGAGAAUAAAGACUUUUUUCAUAAUUUAGACAGAGUUGGUUUGAAAAAGGUUUUCAGCAAAUCACAUAACCAAAUAUAGAAUGAAGGUUGCUAACUCAGGCUAUUGCACUAACCACUAAACUUAGCUUCCUCUCUUGGCUGCAAAGGGCAGAAGCACAGGAAGAAAAAAAAUGCCACUCUUUCUGGAACAAGCAGACUUUUGGAAAAUGGCUAGUUCUGGAGCUUGACCUAUACGACGCAUCCUCCUACAAGGAAUGUGCUGAGGUGUCCAGAUUGUAAAAGUAGUGUGAUGAUGACCGAAUUGGAUGGCAAAUGGAAGCAACAUCAGGUAUCCACCAGCCAGCAGGACACGGGCUUGUCCCAUGGCAGCAGAAAGUUGGUCUCUGGGCCAAUAGCAAGGCUGAGAAGUGGCCUGAUCGGGAAAAGAGCCAGUGCUGACUGCACCCCAGCGCUGCCAGCCCAGCCAGGGCCCAGGCAGAGUCCCGCCCCCUCUGCUGACAGUGCAGAGCCGCCCUGACAAAGGCUCUCUGUAGGCUCUGGGCAUAGACCUCCCACAGCUACAGAUAAAACAGAAGGAGAUUAACACGUGUUAGAAGCUAAACAAAUAAGUUAGGGGAUAAUAUUUUUAAAUGUUUACAUAUCUAGAUUCUGACCUUUUAAAAUUCAAUUUCAAGGUAUGCAGAUAUGACGGCAGGAGAAACCCUUAGUCCUGUGCAGCAUGUGCUAAAACAGCCCCUGCUUUCUGUGGGUGUCAGGGUCUAAAUCUUCCUUAGCUAUCAGUUUGUUUCUCAGGAAGUGUGCCAAAGAAUUUGCAUAUGCAGAGGGAUGGGGGACCCCAGAGCUUCACUGAUUGGGGAGGGCAUUACGGAUGAGAGUUCGUUCAGAAACUGAAACCACGGUUUCUUCCUCUACUCCUGGCCCUCUUGGUGACUUUCUGCCAGUCUGAAGCAGGAAGUUUCCUCAUAACAACAAAGAGAUAGAGUGGGACCUAACAUGGUUUCUUAUGAGUUGUCAUCUUUACACCUUUGAAUUGGAAAUGCCUCUGUAAUCUAUUAGGCUAACAGAAAAUAUAUGUUGUGAUAGCUAAAAGCAAGCUUUUUGGGGUUAUUAGAUAAGAAGUGUUAAAUACCUGUAGAAUAUCAUUAAUAUUCAAUAUGUGCUGUUGAAUUAUGCAAUAGAUUAUUAUCUCUACAUCUGGAUUCAAAAAAAAAAAAACAGAAAGAAAGAAAAGAGGAAAGGAAAAAAGACUCCAGUUACUAUCAUCUCAUAUCUCUGAACUUGAACUAUUGGAAUGAUUGCCUUUGCUGUAUAAGCAAAGUUAACCUGAAUGUACCGGCAUUUUCCCUUGGGAGAAUGGUAUUUAGACCAUCACACGAUAACCAACUAUUUCAAAUCUGUUCUGGAAACCAGUUAAAUAGAAAUAAUCUCAAAAAAUGAAUAUUCGGAAAAUGACGCUCCCUUUACUCUGGAAAAGGAGUGCUUUGAGCAGCUAGGAGAGCGGCUCUUCCACUGCUCCUUUCCCUCUUCAUGGGUUCGUGUUCAGGUUGAAGAACCACGUUACUCCACAGAAGAUGACACAGCAAAUAACACGAAGAAGUGCUGCGACAGAGAAACAGGACAAUGAAAUGUUCCUGUGGAUGAAAAAUGUCACUUGCCAUAUCAGGAAACAAAGGAUGUUGCAGCCAUCAAGCCAUCAGCCACUAUAACCGCUCCAACAGCGAGCUCUGAAGAAACUCAGGGUGGAGACAAACAGGCUGCCAGCCACCAAGUCGUCAGCCACUGCCUCAACAGUGCACCCUGAGGGCAUUCAGGAUGGGAAAGAGCCAGAUACUGGCCCUAGAUAGUUGAGGUGCCAAAGGAAUGAUUUCAAUGAGCCCAGACUCUUGCAU